UGCAAGUCGAACGAGAUUGAGGGGCUUGCUCUUCAUGAAAGUGGCGCACGGGUGCGUAACGCGUAUGCAACCUACCUUAAUCAGGGGGAUAGCCCGAAGAAAUUCGGAUUAAGACCGCAUAAAAUCACAGUACAGCAUUGUACAAUGAUCAAAUAUUUAUAGGAUUAAGAUGGGCAUGCGUGUCAUUAGUUAGUUGGCGAGGUAACGGCUCACCAAGACCACGAUGACUAGGGGAUCUGAGAGGAUGACCCCCCACACUGGUACUGAGACACGGACCAGACUCCUACGGGAGGCAGCAGUAAGGAAUAUUGGUCAAUGGAGGGAACUCUGAACCAGCCAUGCCGCGUGCAGGAUGACUGCCCUCUGGGUUGUAAACUGCUUUUAUUCGGGAAUAAACCACGUUACGUGUAAUGUGCUGAAUGUACCGAAAGAAUAAGGAUCGGCUAACUCCGUGCCAGCAGCCGCGGUAAUACGGAGGAUCCAAGCGUUAUCCGGAUUUAUUGGGUUUAAAGGGUGCGUAGGCGGCUUAUUAAGUCAGGGGUGAAAGACGGUGGCUCAACCAUCGCAGUGCCCUUGAUACUGAUGAGCUUGAAUACACUAGAGGUAGGCGGAAUGUGACAAGUAGCGGUGAAAUGCAUAGAUAUGUCACAGAACACCGAUUGCGAAGGCAGCUUACUAUGGUGUUAUUGACGCUGAGGCACGAAAGCGUGGGGAUCAAACAGGAUUAGAUACCCUGGUAGUCCACGCCCUAAACGAUGAAUACUCGCUGUUAGCGAU
rnacentral:rRNA from 1 species